rnacentral:rRNA from 1 species
UACGAACCGUGCGAACGUUGUUCGGAAUUACUGGGCGUAAAGGGCUCGUAGGCGGCCAACUAAGUCAGUCGUGAAAUCCCUCGGCUUAACCGGGGAACUGCGUGUGAUACUGGAUGGCUUGAGUUCGGGAGAGGGAUGUGGAAUUCCAGGUGUAGCGGUGAAAUGCGUAGAUAUCUGGAGGAACACCGGUGGCGAAGGCGGCAUCCUGGACCGACACUGACGCUGAGGAGCGAAAGCCAGGGGAGCAAACGGG